rnacentral:lncRNA from 1 species
CCCAGCUGGGGCUGCUGUACUGGAUCAUCCGGAGGAACUGGAGCUCAGCAGACAAGCUGAAGGGAAGGAACAGAACCAAGUGCAGGCAGGCGGAGAGGUGCAAGCGCAUGGGGCAUUCCAGAACCUAUCAGGUGGUCGGGGGCCAGAUCACCCCCGCCCCCCCCCCGUGGCUUGCACAUGGUGCUGAGGAAGGAGCUGACAUCCUGAAGGAGAAGGGGUCCAGGAACCCCGUGUUGUGGCUUGACCCUGGUGAACUCAUUUUGUGUUUUCACCUACAGUCCUUAAAUCCGGACUCUGCCAAGGAUUUGUCAAGUUCAAACUUAGAACUUCCCAUUGAUUCUACUUACAUUUCACCUUGUCUGUUAUGUCUGUCUGGACCCUGUUUGUCGAAAACUGUUGAUCAUGCCCCCUAAAGCAUCUCUUCUUCAAGCAUUGAUCAAUUGACCAAUAUCAAGAAUGAGGCUGGGGUGGAGCUUCACUGCAAGGUCAGUCCACACCCCGGGGGCCGACGGUGCUGCUGUCAGACUGACAUUUCAGUCUCUUAGAUCUUGACUGUGAUUCGAUGGUACACAACAUGGAGGAAGCAGACUGUGAAUAUGCCUGUCACCAACACCCUGGAGCACAUCAAAGAAAAGGAGAACGGAGAGAUCUUAAAUCUGGCCACCUCUCAUUUUUCAUUAGUCACUGCCCUGCUGGUUCCUACUCUACUGAAGAGGCAGAGUUCCUCGGUCUGGAAUUUCUGACAGCUUACUUUUCUUGCUGGAGUUCAUGUUUCUUUGAGUACACAAAGUCCCAGGUAUGCCCACUAGUCACUCUUUC